CCACUUUGGAAGUCGCUCCACUGCCUCUGUUUGCACUCAAUUAGUCUCAAUCAAUUAAAGAAAUCAUUAAAUAAAAAAUUCUAAACCAAAUUGUAACAAGUAAUGUAUAUCAGCAGAAAGUAGAUAACAAGGGCUGUUUGCUGCCACCUUGUGCCCAAGAUUUGAAUAACUCUUCUAGCCGUUGGUCUCCAAUUUCUACUCACUGAAAAUGCUUCGCAAAACUCCAAAAUAUGUGAGGAAGAGGAAGGUGUUCAAAGGAGAUCAAUACCAGAUAUUACAGAAGAGUAACAUGAAUGCUGGAGAGGUGCCAGAAGAACUAACAGCUAAUUCAGAGAUCGAGGAAGCUUUCCCUGAAUAAGUGUUAGGACAGCCCUAUUUUUGGCCCUGGUCCCACAUGUGAAGAUCCGCGUCAUUAGUGGCCCACAACUUGCAGCUGCUUUGCAAAAGGCUCACGUGUGUCUGGGAGGGCAUCUCAUUCCUCUGGAGAAUUUGUCAAAGAGGAAUGGGUUGAACUGCGCCAUGGUCCUUGGUUGCUUCAUUUGCAAGAAGGAGAAGGACAUUCUCUUCAUCAGAAAAUGAAUGCGAAGGACGUGGAAAGUCUGCAGAAAAAAACCGCAGAGCUACUCUGGCAGCAACGGAGGUUGGUUUGGCACGGGAUAGCUUGUGCGACUUGCUGACCAUCCUCGGAACAGCCCCACUAGUCGAAGCCCCUAGCUACAACAGGCACAUAGCCACUUUAUCUUCCUUAUCCCAAGAGACCAGUAAGGAUCAGAAGAAGAAGGUGGCAGCAUGCCUACGUCAAAGGGCCAUGGACAAGGAUCUGACCAUCAGGGAAAAUUAUGUGGACGUGGCAGUGCCCUACGAUGAAACAUGGCAUAGACGAGGUUACACAUCGAAUCAUGGGGUGGGGGUAGUGAUACCGAUCGAUACAGGGGAGAUUGUUUUACACAGAGGGUCUAUCAAAAUCAUGUAAACAGUUUGAGUAUAGAAAGGGUUGGGUCUUCAGUGUUCUCAGCCAGAGGGACCUUGAUCGCCUUCAGAGACUCCAAAAAUGAGCAGCAAGGCUUGUCUUUUCUGCUCCUCUUCGAACUCACAUACAACCUCUUUGACUUGAACUUCAUUGUACAUGUUUAUACAAUGUUUUAGAACAUUUCUGUGCUGCAACUCAGUGCCUUAGUUUUUAUUGUACAUGUUUAUAUAUUUUUAACUUGCCUUUCAUUUUAGUCAUGUUUACAUACACACUAUAUAUGACAUUUUAGAUAUUUAGAGGAACUAGGGUGAUAUAUAUGUGGGUAUUUAUUACACCUUAGUAGAAUAAGUCCAAGUAAUAUGUGUUGCAAUUAUGAACUUGCCUUUCAUUUGAGUUUUUAUUGUACAUGUUUAUACAAUGUUUUAGAACAAUCCUGUGCUGCAACUCAGUGCCUUAGUUUUUAUUGUACAUGUUUAUAUAUUUUCAACUUGCCUUUCAUUUUAGUCAUGUUUACGUACACACUGUAUAUGACAUAUUAGUUGUUUCUUUUUAACUUGCCGAUUAUUUAGAGGAACUAGGGUGAUAUAUAUGUGGGUAUUUAUUACAUCUUAGUAGAAUAAGUCCAAGUAAUAUGUGUUGCAAUUACGAACUUGCCUUUCAUUUUAGUUUGUAGUAUGUGAUAUAUUUUUUACUUGCCUUUUAUUUUAGUUUUUAGCAUAUGUACAUGCAUACAACUUUUGAUAUAAACCAAAUACAUCCUGCCACUUUCAUUCAA
rnacentral:lncRNA from 1 species